AUUGAACGCUGGCGGCAGGCCUAACACAUGCAAGUCGAGCGGAUGACGGGAGCUUGCUCCUUGAUUCAGCGGCGGACGGGUGAGUAAUGCCUAGGAAUCUGCCUGGUAGUGGGGGACAACGUUUCGAAAGGAACGCUAAUACCGCAUACGUCCUACGGGAGAAAGCAGGGGACCUUCGGGCCUUGCGCUAUCAGAUGAGCCUAGGUCGGAUUAGCUAGUUGGUGAGGUAAUGGCUCACCAAGGCGACGAUCCGUAACUGGUAUGAGAGGAUGAUCAGUCACACUGGAACUGAGACACAGUCCAGACUCCUACGGGAGGCAGCAGUGGGGAAUAUUGGACAAUGGGCGAAAGCCUGAUCCAGCCAUGCCGCGUGUGUGAAGAAGGUCUUCGGAUUGUAAAGCACUUUAAGUUGGGAGGAAGGGCAGUAAGUUAAUACCUUGCUGUUUUGACGUUACCGACAGAAUAAGCACCGGCUAACUCUGUGCCAGCAGCCGCCGUAAAAC
rnacentral:rRNA from 1 species